rnacentral:lncRNA from 1 species
CCUAAAGAAUGAGGCUCACAAAGGGUAGAACCAGGCAGCUCUGGAUUAUCUAAGUGGUAGGAAGUAAUCAAUGAUCCCUUCAAAGCAUCUCUGUUGAAAUAAAUCCCAUUCCAUUUUUUUCUUUUAACAGACCUUAAGUGACCCUGCUCAAGAUGAACUGUCCUAGAAUAAAAUUUGAUUGGCCAACUUCAGUCAGUGAUUACUCUUGGCAACAAGACAGGGUUCCUUGACUGACAGUCCCAUGGAGACUCUCAUAAUAAGGAGCCAGUAAUCUCCAACAAGGAAUUCAGAGUGCUCUUAAGAACAGGAGGGCGAAUGGGUGCUGGGAAGCCAAGGAAGAGCAAAUGUCCACUUCCAUCUGGGACAUGACCUUGCUACAGGGCCCCUCCUGAGUUGGGGGGGUGGGCAGGGAGCAUUAACGUGGAAGUAAUUGAGAAUUAAUUUUUCUUUAAAAAUCUCCAGGCAUAAUGUCAAUAGUUCAGAAUGUAACACUAUUUGACAUUAACAGAGCUCACACUGAAAAAUCGCAGGUAUGUAAAUAAAUGUUGGAAUGAAAAUAAAUAAGAAACUGAAAGAAAAGCUGAGAUAUGCUGAUGUUUAAGGAAGAUCAUAUGUCACUGUUUUGCCAAACCUGAUGAAAAGAUAAGCCAAAAGCCCUAUGAAGGCUUGUCUGUGUUCAUCACUGUUUUGCAGCAUCUAGAACAGUGAGGUAUUCAAGAAAACGUUUGCAUGAGUGUAUCAAUGUGGCUAGUGCUGUGAGAGAAGGAGAUGGAUGAGUUUUCUUCUGUGACCAGGCCAGAUUUUCUUUUUAAGUCAUCUCUACACCCAAGGUGGGGCUUGAACUCACCACCCCGAGAUCCUCUGUCGAGUGCUGUACCGAUGACUAAGCCAGCCAGGCGUCCCUGCAUCAACUUUUCAACUGGAGAUUAUGUCAUGCAGAAUCAACUCACACCAUAAGGAUAUGUCCACAUAGAGCAUAAAUAAAAGCGGGGUGUUUACAGAAUUUCUGGACCCACUUGUGCUCUCUGUGAGCCUCCAACUAUCGUCAUCUCUGUAACUAUAGUAAUCUCCACCCCCAAUGUGACUGUAUUGGAGAUAAGGCCUUUGAGGAGGUGAUUAAGGUGAAAUGAGGUCAUGAGGGUGGAGCCCUGAUCCCAUAGAACUGGGUUCUAAGAAGAGGAAGAGGCACCAGAGGUCUCUCUCCCGCCUCCCCCCCCCCACCACCAUGUGAAGACAUGGUAGGAAGGCAGCCAUUUGCAGGCCAGGAAGAGGGCUCUCACUGGAACUGGCUGCGUUGGCACCCUGAUCUCAGACUCACAGCCUCCAGGACUGUGAGAAAUAAAUGUCUGUGCCUGAAGCCACCCGGUCUAUGGUAUCUUGUUAUG